AGCAGCCGCGGUAAUUCCAGCUCCAAUAGCGUAUAUUAAAGUUGUUGCAGUUAAAAAGCUCGUAGUUGAAUUUCGGGAUCAAUACGUCGGUCGUGCUUCGGUACGUACUGGUGUCAUUGAUUUCUCCCUUCUGACGAACCAUGAUGUCAUUAACUUGGUGUCAUGGGAAAUCAGGACUGUUACUUUGAAAAAUUAGGGUGUUUAAAGCAGGCUCACGCUUGAAUACAUUAGCAUGGAAUAAUGAAAUAGGACGUUCGAUCCUAUUUUGUUGGUUUCUAGGAUCAACGUAAUGAUUAAUAGGGAUAGUUGGGGGCAUUAGUAUUCAAUUGUCAGAGGUGAAAUUCUUGGAUUUAUUGAAGACUAACUACUGCGAAAGCAUUUGCCAAGGAUGUUUUCAUUAAUCAAGAACGAAAGUUAGGGGAUCGAAGACGAUCAGAUACCGUCGUAGUCUUAACCAUAAACUAUGCCGACUAGGGAUCGGAUGAUGUUAAUUAUUUAAUGACUCAUUCGGCGCCUUAAC
rnacentral:rRNA from 1 species